AAAGAGUAAGUCUGAAGAGGAGUCAAAUGCUUCUUUUCUUAAGGACAAGCUGUGAUGGGGAGGGAAAUAAUAGUACCGAAGUUCCUGAUGUCACACUGCCGAGAAAAGCUUCUAGUGAGAAAACAGCGGCC
rnacentral:rRNA from 1 species